CAGUCGAACGAAGCACUUUAUUUGAUUUCCUUCGGGACUGAUUAUUUUGUGCCUGAGUGGCGGACGGGUGAGUAACGCGUGGGUAACCUGCCUUGUACAGGGGGAUAACAGUUGGAAACGGCUGCUAAUACCGCAUAAGCGCACAGCAUCGCAUGAUGCAGUGUGAAAAACUCCGGUGGUAUAAGAUGGACCCGCGUUGGAUUAGCUAGUUGGUGGGGUAACGGCCCACCAAGGCGACGAUCCAUAGCCGGCCUGAGAGGGUGAACGGCCACAUUGGGACUGAGACACGGCCCAGACUCCUACGGGAGGCAGCAGUGGGGAAUAUUGCACAAUGGGGGAAACCCUGAUGCAGCGACGCCGCGUGAAGGAAGAAGUAUCUCGGUAUGUAAACUUCUAUCAGCAGGGAAGAUAGUGACGGUACCUGACUAAGAAGCCCCGGCUAACUACGUGCCAGCAGCCGCGGUAAUACGUAGGGGGCAAGCGUUAUCCGGAUUUACUGGGUGUAAAGGGAGCGUAGACGGUGUGGCAAGUCUGAUGUGAAAGGCAUGGGCUCAACCUGUGGACUGCAUUGGAAACUGUCAUACUUGAGUGCCGGAGGGGUAAGCGGAAUUCCUAGUGUAGCGGUGAAAUGCGUAGAUAUUAGGAGGAACACCAGUGGCGAAGGCGGCUUACUGGACGGUAACUGACGUUGAGGCUCGAAAGC
rnacentral:rRNA from 1 species